rnacentral:tRNA from 1 species
UCCAGGGUAGCCUAGUGGACAUGGCAUCAGCCUGGUAAGCAGAACACUGUGGAUUUGAUUCCCAUCCCUGGAC